GUUUCACAAUGUCCAAGUAUUGGAUAGCUAAUUAACAAAUAAAUUGGCUGCCAGAUUCAACUUCCUACAAAACUUAGCACUUUAUCUACCAGCUUAUUUAGAGAUUUUGAAACGCACACGAAGAUUUUAUUCGUCAUAUAAGGACCGUGCGCGUUGGAGGGUCUGCCAUCUUGUGGCCUGGAUCGGAACCAUAAACAUGUACAUUUACACGUCACGUGUUUUCUUGUACAUAGUAGGUUCUGCCAUCUUGUGGGCUACAUCGGAACAAUAAACAUCACAUUUACGCCUCGCGCCAAAAAUCUGACGGCUCCUUUGCUGCCUCCUACAGUUCACGCACGCUCCCUAUAAAUAAAGUUAUUUUGUAAAUGUGCUUUGUUUCAUUGUUUUAAGACAUUUUUAUGCACUAGAGUAGUGUAAAACUACGCAUGAAUGGAGAAGGAUUGCGCGACAAUGAAAAGCUCCGCCAUCUUUGUCACGGUUACACCGCUCCUCGCUUUGCUCGGUGAUGCUCGCUUUGUUUGGUGUAAUUUCAUAUAAAAAUAUCAUUAAAAUUAUUUUGUAAA